GUGGAUAUAAAAUCACUUUUUGCCAACAAUAUUACAUUUUUUGUUGUACAGCUAACAAUAAUAAAUAUGUAGUUGCUACAUAAACAAUUCACAUUUUCUAUCUUUUAAAACAUCACAAAUGUAUAUAUAAAUUAAUAUAUGAUAUAUAUUUGCAAAAGUCAAUACAACUGAAGCACUAAGUAUUUAUUUACAUACUUUCAAAACUAACUACCACUAAAACAUAAUGUGUAUACUUACAAAAAAGAACAAGAACAUCUCUAGAGUCAUAAUUUCUAAUCUAAUAACAAUCCCAAAAGCAAAUUUUCUUCCAGUAACUUGUACAUCGAUGAACCAUAUUGCCAGCUAUGUUGGUUUACUCAUGCUCAUCCUACAAAAGAAGAUAAAUUAUAGUUAUAUCUUUUAUAAAUAAAAACUAUAAAGUACACAUAUCAAAAGAGAGAAUUUAGGCACCAAUAAAUGAUAUAAGAAGAUUUUUAUAAUAUAUACAUAUUAUAGUUGCAUAUGAAUUUUAUAUUCUGCUACUAGUAAGUAGUAAUCAGAACCCAAGUUUAUGACAGUUAUCAUAAUUAAUUGAUCUUUUGACUCUAAAGGAACUAGUAACUUGAAUUUUAAGAUAAAAGAAGACUUUUGAGAUCCCUAAAGCUCCUUUUGGUCAAGAGAGUUUCAUAUACAACAAUUUUUUAUGGUAUUGGUGCUGCGGAACACUCUGUAAUAAUAGCAGUAAACAAGAACUCAUCAAAUAAGAUAGUCGGGUUGCGUCCCGUUAGUAUCCAUAGAUGCUCCUUGACUUCAUGGCCAUGGGUGGGAGUGGAAUUGCUAUCUACUUCAGACAGAUAUUCAGUUUAGAUCUAGUAUUAUACUUCGUCAUUAGUUAAGCCUGUCCGCAUGUUUUGACUACCCACAAGCUAGUAGCCUAGUUAACAGUCGUGGUAUUAGACCUUCGUGAUGUACGCUACUUUCCUAGAAUCAGAAAACUGACAGGUUUCAUCGUGAGACCAGAAUAUAGAAGAAGAGAGCUAACUAUGUACUAUAGAUUUUGCAUAUCGCCACAAAAUCACAUUAGACCUGGCUUCUUUAUUUUCUUUUACCUUUUUUCUCCAAAGUAUAAGAUACUCUCUGUAUAUAAUUUUAGUCUAGAAUCUUUUAAAAGCCCAAGAUCAAACAACUCUUCUUUUUGAGCUCAUAUGACAGAGAACAAAAAAAUUGCAACAUAACACUAUAAAGCCUAAGAGCAAGCGCAUCACCUUUCAAAGGUCCAAGAUCAUGCAACUUUUCUUUUUGAAUUGAGAAGAAUGCAAACAUGACAGUGAACAAUAUCAACAAAGGAAUUUACUUUUACAAGAGUUAGGCAAAGUUUUCUUACCGUGAUGUCAUCCAUAAGUCUUGAACAACUUGCGUCAUCUGAACCACUUAAACUAGAAAUAAUGUUGAGAAUUGCAGCAGAAACUCCAUUCUGUUAAACAUAAUAAAACUACAUAACUUAAUUUGUCGUACAAAUCAAUGGAAAGGAAUUAUAUACGAACAAGGAAGAAACAGAGAUAGUGCGACAAGAGUAAUUUAUGGAUUCGACUACUUUAAUAUCUUCUGUUCCAUAAUCAAAGUGUUUUCUUUUCUCUGUCUCUUUGUUUAAUUCUGUUUAAUCAGAGGGUAUAGAAUCAUUCGCUGUAACAGCAUCACGACACAAGACAAUGGAACUGUCAGCCCAGACGGGAUCUAUUUUACAAUUCUAUACCACAUUUGAGAGAAGCAAUGACCCUAUAGUACCAAGGACAAAAAUAUCAACUCACAUGUCAAUUGUAUCAGCACUGCAUAACAACUGCUGCCAGCAGUUAUUAAGAUAGAUCGAAUUCCUAGAGUUUUCAAGAGAUAAACAAGUAUAAUAAGGAAAUAGGUCAUGAUGCCCAUAAAUAUCACAUUGUUAACACUUCACAGUAACCACUAUCGCAACCACAUGAAAGAAAACUAACAAAAUAACACAUAAACCAUCUUACAGCUUACUUGCAUGUUUACUAAAUUACUACUCCUACUACUUUAAUUUCUAGUGAAGAAAUAUAAACUUGAGAGAGAGAAGUCCACUUAGCUUUUUGGAUUUAAACUAACUUUUUCAAAUUCAUAUUCUUAGAAAAUAUGAUCCAUCAAAAAGAGAGUUUUUAUCUCUAAUGAAUUCUAUAUCUGUGUGUGACGAGACUAACACAUAAAGUGAUGCUACCACUUUUACUCUUGUGUAGUUUGAACGAAAUAUUCUUAGGAUCAAAAGCAAGUAAUUGAAAUACCCCAUUACUUAGUAUAUGUGAUGUUAGUGCCAUCAUGCUCUCUUUCAAUAGUUUUUGGUCACGCAUCAUGGCUUCUCGAUUUUUCCGCUCCCCCUCAAGCUGAAUUUUUACAUCCUUUAGCUGGCAUUCUACACUAUCUCGUUUACGACGCUCUUCUUCUACCUCUUUUUGUUGUGCUUGCAGUUUCUCUUAUAUUCCAUUCAUGGAUCUCCUACUUGUUGACUUAAAUCUCGAUCCUUGACCACGGCAAUAACUUGACGUUUCUCCAAUAACUUUCACAAAUGCAGCACUAACAACUGGGUCCAAAUCAGUAUCCUCUCCAGUAUUGGAUACAUAACAUAUACGAGCUAGAGAUUUUAUAGGGCAGAAUUUUAACAAAUGAAUUAACUUACCUGGUGGUGGGUUUGAGAUUACAUCAACAAUUCCAUCAUUAUUAGAAACAUGCACAUCCAUCAUCAUGAUAGGCUGCAACACAUAUUAAAAGGAAUUAUAUUAUUGGACUAGUCGAACGUACAAGUGAAAUACUUAGAAACAUAAGGCUUUGAGUUGAACUGGAAAGCCAAAUAAUUAGAACAGAUAAGCUAUGGAUAUUAGUGGACGAUAUUAGACAAAUAAAAGUUUCACUUUGAGCUCUGUAUAUUAGGCAGACAGAAUUUCUACUUUGAGACUCAUGUUUAAUGUGGGAAUCACAGAAGUAUUAAUGUCAAGACAGAGUAUGUGCUCUUCUUUAAAAAAAUCGCAUAGGAGCGCCAACUUGAUUCGAUUCAACUAUGGUUGGAUAAUUGUUUUCUUUCACACUUUCUCAUAUAUAAACAGAGUGCAAGGGAAUGAAAUACUAAUUUUCUAAGAUUUUUCAAAUAAUGUAAAUACUUAGUAAAACAGUGCAUUUUUUCCAAAGUUGAAAGCAUCUACAAUUGCAAAUCACUCGUACUACGACCAGUUACUAGUAAUAUUCCACGCUUCUGAUGAUUAAUCCAAAAUUUACUUUACGUUGGAUUCAAUGAAUAGCAAAACACAUGAAUAAAAUAUUCAAGAACCAAAAAUUGGACAGGGGACAUAAAGAAAACUUUUCAUGAACCAAACAUAUCCAACACCAGAAAUAACAGCAAGUAAUUGAUAAACUUCUCACAAAAUCGGUAUUAACACUUGAAGUGUAAAACUAUUGACCUUCAAUAUAAUCUCGUAUCGUAAAAUCCUUCGAGAAAAUAUUAUUUCACAUUCAUAUUAUGCUAGAAGUAACAAUAGAAAAGAUCCAUUAACAAAAAGAACAAGAAAUUGGACAACAAUAAAAGAAAAACUUUAUGCAAAGUUUCUUUCUGAAGCAUAAGGAAUUAGAAGAGAAGAAAUUAUAAAUCGUAUUCUGGAAAAUCAGAAUUUAAGAUACCCAUAACCAACAAAGUACUUCAACGAUAAAAGGCAAUAGAAAACAAUAUUCCAGCAAUUUGAAUAGAGUUCUUACCGGUUCUUCUCCGAUUAGCAGUAAUACGAUGCAGCGAAGAGGAUGAAGCAGAGAAGGAGCUCGUUCAAGAAUUGCUGAUAAGAAAAACCCUAGCCAGAUCGGUGGUUACGAGAGAGUGCGCUAAAAAUUCGAGAAAAGUUAUUAAAAAGCAAAAGGUUUGCCGCGUUUGAUUUUGGCGGAAAACUAAAAAAAAUUAGGCCACCACCCAC
rnacentral:lncRNA from 1 species